rnacentral:piRNA from 1 species
GGCAGUCCAGGUCAGCGUCAGGUGCAC